GCGCCCGUAGCUCAGUUGGAUAGAGCAUCUGCCUUCUAAGCAGAGGGUCGGCUGUUCGAAUCAGCCCGGGCGCA
rnacentral:tRNA from 1 species